ensembl:lncRNA
CAUUAUUUUGAAUGGACACCUUAGCUCAACGUUUGAGGGUGUACUUUCUGCACCCUUGUUUUUCUACUUUUGUGUCUAGCACUGCACCUAGGACUGCCUCUAGGUUGCGUCUCAAUCUCAGGUCCAAGUAAAGAGCUUUGCUUUCUCCACACACCCUCUCAUGAUUGUCCUCCAAUCAUCUCCUCUCUCGGCUGCCCCUCCCCUCUGCCUCCACCCUGCUAUGGCUUUGUGGAUUCCAAUAGUGCCCGCUCCCUUCUCCACCCCUCCCUCUUCCUCCUCCCUCCUUUCCCCCCUUCUCCUCCUUCUACCUCUCCUCCCUCCUCUUCUUCUCUCUUCCUCCUCUCCUCUCCUCUCCUCCCCCUCCGCCUCUCCCCUCCUUCCUCUCCUCUCCUCCCCCCUACCUCCUCCCCUCUCCCUCCUCUCCUCUCCUCCCCGCUCCCUUCUCUCCUCCCUCCUCCCCUCCUCUCCUCUCCUCCUCUCUGGUCGCUGUGUCCAGUAUGUCCGCUUCCCCCAGUGCCUCUUCUAGACGUCAGGACUCGCUCUAGUGUACGUUUCCUUGGUACCAGAUCUGGUGUUUUAACCCAUCCAUCUCUUGCCUCUCACAUUGAUUAGGGCUCACUGGGUUAAUCUUAUUUGCCUUAGUUAACCCUUGAUAACCGGCCCCCAUAUUGUAGACCAUGAAAUCAUGAAACCUUUUUUAUUUGUACUAUCGACGGUUGCAAGCUUCUGCAUUGUCUCCUGCACGACCUGCUAAUGAUUGAAAGUAAGAACAGGUCUUUUUAAAUUAUUUUAUUCAUAUUCGUUGCUUGUGUAAAACCAAAUAAAGGACGAGUUAGCGUCCAGGGAAGGGAUCACCUUUCAUCACCAUGGAAACCGUCUGUUUCCUCCGAGGCUGACUAGUAAAUGUAUUGAAGGAUUUCUCCUCAUCUUUUUGAAAAGUUUUUUUUCUUUUUUGUUAUCUUUUCUUUCUGUAGUGUUAUUUAUUUAUUUUUCUAAUUUUACUUUUGUGAUAUCAGUUUAAAUCACUGUAUAAAUGCCCAAUGAUUCAGUAUAAACUUGGAUUUUUAUUUGAUUUUUUUUGUAUUUUCUUUGGCGUCAUGAUGUUGGAACUUAAACCUUUUUUUGUUUUCUUCAUAUAUCUACCUCACCCUUUUUAAAAUACGUGUUUGCAUCUGAAAAAAAUUACAUCUCACUCGUUCCGCAUGAGUUUGUUUAAAAUAACUCUGGAAGGUCUCCGGACACCCCUCACCCUUUGGACACGCCCACUCAACAUCAUUACCACCGGUACACCUGAAUCAGGAGGUGGUCUCACUGAUGCUGCCAUUGCCACUUUGUCCCAACAUUGCCCAAUCAAUUGUUGGCCCUAUGGAUAAAAACACUUGUUGUUUUAAGCCGGUUCAAAAAGCCUGAUUAAUGUCUCUGGUAGAGACAGGCUUUUAAUCAAGGACUGGAGUCAAAUAUUGUAUUUAAUAUUUUACAAAAAUCUGAGGCAGAUGUCAAUUAGCCAAUUCGAAGAAAUUGAUUUGAAAAAUAACCGAUCUUCCUUUUAUUUUACUAGAUUUUAGUUCCUGCAUUUUAAAUCAUUUUAAACACUGCAAUAUAUAUAUCAGUAGAAGAGGCCUGGGCACAUUUUAACACCAUCAGGCAUUCCAUCCCCUGUCUUCAUCCUACAGUUACAGAUAUAACAGUCUACAACUUUCCUCUUACUAUGAAGAGGGAUAGCAUAGAUGUAGUCAACACAUGAAGCAUUUAUUCAGAUAACACUUCACUAAUCAUGGGGAAUCAUUUAAAAGGGAAACAUGAUUUCACAAAAAGCAUCUUAUUCAUUGACAAGACGUUCAAUGCUCUCAAAUGUCCUCCAUUUUAUACCUCCUACUCAAUACAUCUAGUUGGAUAAAGAUUCAGUAACGUUUUUCAUUCACUGACUGAAUUCCACAAUGAGCAUCUAAACUCAGGAUUCCUACUCGCUUCCUGGUCAAUGCCAUAACCAAAAGUCUGUUCCAAUAUCUGAAUGACAGUGUUUUAUUUGCUCCAAUCCAAUUCUCCAGUGAUCACAUGUGUACCCUCUACAGUGUCUUCCACUCUGUGUGUACCUGCUGAAUCUCAUGUCCUAUCUCUCUAGUCUUUUAAUUAUUACUACAUUUUAUUUCCUGGGGGUUGAACCAACAGUUGGUUCAACCCCCAAUACCGAUUCAAUCUGAAUUUAAAAAACGAUCAUGUCCACGGUUGCUCAGCAAACGGUUCUGUCCUGGUUUGUUGUUGCUGCUUACAAUAAUGCUGCUUGUUAAAAAAAAUGUUACAGUAGAUUGCAUACAGAAAAAAAGGAGGCAAAUAUGAACAUGGAAAGUUACAACCAAAAAUAAAUAUCAGCACCGGCUUGAUAAGACUCCAAUCAGCCGGCUACUUACUGAGGUGAUAUCAGCACCACACCUCUUCAGAGACUAUCAGAGACCAAUUUAACAGAGAGACAGAGAGUGGAGCCAUUGCAGUGUCAAGGUAUUGUUACUGGUUGCUUGUCGUCUUUAGCAGUUCAUCUUACCAAAGAUGGGUAUAAAGAGGUUAAGGUUGGUAUCAAUAGGUCCCCAUUGACAAAGUGUGCUUAUGUUGUUACUGUUUUAGGAUGCAUCUUCUGUAAUGAUAACCACAUCGAUUUGAUAUAGGAUCUGCUCUGUCAACUAUUAAGUAAAAAUGACUGACCCAGUUUAAAUAAAAAUGUAUUUGAAUAGGCGGAUUGCAACCAUAUAUGGACAACUGCCAACCCAAUGUAUAACGCACAUGUGGACAUCAGUAGGUGACGAUGUCUCAUAGAUUACGGGUAGCUUCGGUUCAGAGUCAUUGUCAACACAUACGACCAUAUAUAUUUGCAGUAAAACUAAAGUACCUUUUGGAAAAGACUGACAACCAAGGUUUCCGGUGAAGCAUCCUUCUCACUACUCUCUUUAUCUGCUUUCUCCAGAACGUUCUUCAUGCAGGCCUCAGGGUUUUGAAGGUUGCAUCAGUGCAUUCAAACUGCAAUAAUGUGUUUGGACUUCAUCACUGUCAUGCUUUCCUUUCCAUGAUUUAUAUUCCAAUAACUUAAGAGGGGGCCUUCAUCUAAUAUUAUUAUUAUUAUUAUUUUAUUAGCUUUCUCACAAAAAGCUGUUGCGUGUGUGAUUCAAUGAUUGAAGGGGGGCGGAAUCAAAGAAGCUUUGCAAAACUGUCUUCAAUUUUUGUAUCUGAAGCCUCAACGUUUUUCACGGUUAUAGUCGAGAUGGG